GUGGGGAAUAUUGGACAAUGGGGGGAACCCUGAUCCAGCCAUGCCGCGUGUGUGAAGAAGGCCUUUUGGUUGUAAAGCACUUUAAGCGAGGAGGAGGCUACCGAGAUUAAUACUCUUGGAUAGUGGACGUUACUCGCAGAAUAGCACCGGCUAACUCUGUGCCAGCAGCCGCGGUAAUAAAGAGGGUGCAAGCGUUAAUCGGAUUUACUGGGCGUAAAGCGCGCGUAGGUGGCCAAUUAAGUCAAAUGUGAAAUCCCCGAGCUUAACUUGGGAAUUGCAUUCGAUACUGGUUGGCUAGAGUAUGGGAGAGGAUGGUAGAAUUCCAGGUGUAGCGGUGAAAUGCGUAGAGAUCUGGAGGAAUACCGAUGGCGAAGGCAGCCAUCUGGCCUAAUACUGACACUGAGGUGCGAAAGCAUGGGGAGCAAACAGGAUUAGAUACCCUGGUAGUCC
rnacentral:rRNA from 1 species